GCCAGUGUGGUCUAGUGGUUGAAGUGUUGGGACUGUGACUCUGGAGACCAGGGUUUGAUUCCCAGCUCGGCCA